CCUACGUGAGGCUGCAUUGGGGAAUAUUGGACAAUGGGCGAAAGCCUGAUCCAGCCAUGCCGCGUGUGUGAAGAAGGCCUUCGGGUUGUAAAGCACUUUCAGUGGGGAAGAAAGCCUUGGGGCUAAUACCCUCGAGGAAGGACAUCACCCACAGAAGAAGCACCGGCUAACUCCGUGCCAGCAGCCGCGGUAAUACGGAGGGUGCGAGCGUUAAUCGGAAUUACUGGGCGUAAAGCGCGCGUAGGCGGUCUGAUAAGCCGGUUGUGAAAGCCCCGGGCUCAACCUGGGAACGGCAUCCGGAACUGUCAGGCUAGAGUGCAGGAGAGGAAGGUAGAAUUCCCGGUGUAGCGGUGAAAUGCGUAGAGAUCGGGAGGAAUACCAGUGGCGAAGGCGGCCUUCUGGACUGACACUGACGCUGAGGUGCGAAAGCGUGGGUAGCAAACAGGAUUAGAUACCCCAGUAGUC
rnacentral:rRNA from 1 species